rnacentral:lncRNA from 1 species
CUCCGCCUACCGCGUCGAUAGACUUCCUGAAAACGCUCGUGCCUCCCCUACAGCUCAGGAAAGCUGGAAAACUCGCAGUGUAGGGGGGCAAAAAAACAAACAAACAGCAGGGCACCUUUAACAUCGGAUAAAGAGGUUUACCAUGCCUUGAGACCCUGUUCCAGCACUCAUACUCUCUGUAUUCUGUUUUAUUUAUUUCCCAUUUUGAGGACCAUCUUGCAAGGGUUGAAGAACAGAAUUCAGCAUUCAUGGAUAUCAAAUCCUGGAUUUUCUGGCAUUUUUUUAUUGGGUGAACUAUAACACAUGAUUUAUCUGCACUACUACAAUCUCUGACACUAUUUUGAACCAAAACCAGAAGUGGCAUCCCUGUUCAUCUCUAUCACUUCCUAAACCUUGUUGUUUUUGGAGAGGUACUGUAUUUUUAGUCAACCACCUUGAUAAGGUUUCAUUUGAUACUUCUCAAACAAUAUCCUCGGCUGGGCCAUUACGUCCGCUUUCUGUGCUUGUUUGUCACUGAACAUUUUCGUAGCAUUUAUAAGGAUAUUAUAACCUUAGUGUGUGUUUAUUUUUAGUCAUUUGUAAGUUUCAAGUUUGCUGACCUUAAGACAAUGCUUUGUUAAUUGAAAUUGUGCUUCCUAUUUUAUUUAAACAAUUUGUAAGAAUAGAAAAUUGUUAAAUUUAGUAACUUAAGAAAUUUAGUUUAAUGGUUAUUUAUGUAGAUGCACACACAAUUCCGUUUAACCUUGACAAGACCUUGCCUUUUCUCAUAUUGUGACAUUUUGCCAGUGCAAAGAGAGAAAAGCAAAUAAUCUGGCAUCUUAUCUUGUGCUUGGUUUUUAAAACAAAACUGUCAUUUUUGUUGGGAUACUAGCAAUACUAAACUGGAAAUCUCUUUCUUGUAUUUUGUUUUGAUCAGAUGAUCGUAAGAGGAUUUAGCAUUGUUUUCAGGCAAAAUGCACUGAUGGAAAGGAUUUAACACUAUCAGGGAUAGAAACGCCUGCUGAAGUUUUCUUGUGUUUUGAAAAGACACCUGUUGAAACACUGUCAUUAUUUGUAAUUUUUAAGUUUAACUUAAAGUUUACGUAAAAACCCAUGAUUUGGGCUUAAAGCUGACACGUUUAUUUCAGAACAACUAGUGCAUCCGUACAGAAAGUCAUCUCUACAAAUCAGAGGAAAGAGCCCUACACGAGGCAUUCAAGCUGUAUAGUCCAAACAUACUCUCCGCAUCCCAGUAGCACUACCU